rnacentral:rRNA from 1 species
UGGGGGAUAUUGCACAAUGGGCGAAAGCCUGAUGCAGCGACGCCGCGUGGGGGAUGAAGGCCUUCGGGUUGUAAACUUCUUUUGCUCUGAACAAGGCGCACCAUGGGGUGUGUUGAGUGUAGGGGUUGAUUAGCGCCGGCUAACUACGUGCCAGCAGCCGCGGUAAUACGUAGGGCGCGAGCGUUGUCCGGAAUUAUUGGGCGUAAAGGGCUUGUAGGUGGCUGGUUGCGUCUGGCGUGAAAGCUCAUGGCUUAACUGUGGGUUUGCGGUGGGUACGGGCUGGCUUGAGUGCAGUAGGGGAGGCUGGAAUUCCUGGUGUAGCGGUGGAAUGCGCAGAUAUCAGGAGGAAUACCGGUGGCGAAGGCGGGUCUCUGGGCUGUUACUGACACUGAGGAGCGAAAGGAUGGGGAGCGAACAGG